GACGAACGCUGGCGGCGUGCUUAACACAUGCAAGUCGAGCGGAAAGGCCCCUUCGGGGGUACUCGAGCGGCGAACGGGUGAGUAACACGUGAGUAAUCUGCCCCGCACUUGGGGAUAACCACCGGAAACGGUGGCUAAUACCCGAUAUGACAGCUGCCCGCAUGGGUGGUUGUGGAAAGUUUUUUCGGUGCAGGAUGUGCUCGCGGCCUAUCAGCUUGUUGGUGGGGUAAUGGCCUACCAAGGCUUCGACGGGUAGCCGGCCUGAGAGGGUGACCGGCCACACUGGGACUGAGACACGGCCCAGACUCCUACGGGAGGCAGCAGUGGGGAAUAUUGGACAAUGGGCGGAAGCCUGAUCCAGCAACGCCGCGUGAGGGAUGACGGCCUUCGGGUUGUAAACCUCUUUCAGCGGGGACGAAGCGCAAGUGACGGUACCCGCAGAAGAAGCACCGGCCAACUACGUGCCAGCCGCCGCCGUAAAAC
rnacentral:rRNA from 1 species